rnacentral:rRNA from 1 species
UACGAAGGGGGCUAGCGUUGUUCGGAAUUAUUGGGCGUAAAGCGCACGUAGGCGGGUCGUUAAGUCAGGGGUGAAAUCCCGGAGCUCAACUCCGGAACUGCCUUUGAUACUGGCGAUCUAGAGAUCGAGAGAGGUGAGUGGAAUUCCGAGUGUAGAGGUGAAAUUCGUAGAUAUUCGGAAGAACACCAGUGGCGAAGGCGGCUCACUGGCUCGAUACUGACGCUGAGGUGCGAAAGCGUGGGGAGCAAACAGG